CCAUCUCGUGGGACUGCGUCCUCUGGGACGUU
rnacentral:sRNA from 1 species